rnacentral:rRNA from 1 species
ACUUAAUUUCUUUUAUAAUUGUCUUUCACGAUUGAAAUAAUUUUGUGUUAUUGGUUCGUCAUUAGUAAAGAUAUGAAAUUGAUUGAUUAUUCGUUUUUAUCAACAAUCUUAAAGUGUAAAAUAGUCCCUUUUAGUUACCUUUAGUAUCAUGAACAUACGAGAAAUGAGACUGAUUUAUUUUUCCCGAAACUAAGAGAUCUACUUUUUAACUUUCCCUACUGUAGCAAUAGUGGUAAUAAUAAAGAGUAGUUAUGAAAAUUUAAUCGAUCUUAGUUAUACCUGGUUUUGUUUAAACAUAAUAUUAAAUAAUAGUCAUUUUUUUGAUUAAUAUUUUACUUGGUUAAGCUAAGUAAUCUAAAGUUGAAUUCUUAAUAACGUAAAAGAACUAGAUUUAAAAGUAGUCUACAAUUAGUGUCAUUAUAGCUAUCUUUCCUUUAUAUUAAAAUCUAAUUAUUUAACUUUAAAAUAAACAAACUUGAGUUUAAUUUACUACUCAAUAUAUAAUGUGUGUAUUAUUAGCUUAUUACUUAUUAUGUUUUAUUUUUAAUAUGUGAAAUCAGAACUCGGCUAUUCUUCUUCAACUGUUUAUUAAAAACAUAGCUUUAAGAUUUAUUUAAAGUGACUUCUGCCCACUGAUCAUUUGAAUGGCCGCAGUACCCUGACUGUGCUAAGGUAGCGUGAUUCUUGUUUUCUUAAUUAGAAAUCUGUUCAAAGAAUGUAAUGAAGAGGAACUCUUGCUUUCACACAUAGUGAACUUAAACUGUUAGUGAAAAUUCUGACAAGUUCUUAAAAGACGAGAAGACCCCAUAAAACUUAAUUUGAAGUAUUAUCUUGUAUCUUAAAAUUUAGAUGGGGACUUUAGAGUAUAAUAAUAACUUAAAGACCUAAAUAUUUAUUGUUUGAGAAGCUACUUUGGGGAUAACAGGGUAAAAUAUUUGGAGAGUUCUUAUCGAUAAAUAUGAUUACUACCUCGAUGUUGGAUUAUCUUUUCAUAUAUAUUGUAGCAGUAUAUAUUGUUAGUCUGUUCGACUAUUAAAAAGUUACAUGAUCUGAGUUUAAACCGUUGUGAGACAGGUUGGAUUUUAUCUUUAACUAAUUUUAGAGUUUGUUAGUACGAAAGGAAUUCACACUCGUAAUUAUUACU